AUUGAACGCUGGCGGCAGGCCUAACACAUGCAAGUCGAGCGGAUGAAGGGAGCUUGCUCCUGGAUUCAGCGGCGGACGGGUGAGUAAUGCCUAGGAAUCUGCCUGGUAGUGGGGGAUAACGUCCGGAAACGGGCGCUAAUACCGCAUACGUCCUGAGGGAGAAAGUGGGGGAUCUUCGGACCUCACGCUAUCAGAUGAGCCUAGGUCGGAUUAGCUAGUUGGUAGGGUAAAGGCCUACCAAGGCGACGAUCCGUAACUGGUCUGAGAGGAUGAUCAGUCACACUGGAACUGAGACACGGUCUAGACUCCUACGGGAGGCAGCAGUGGGGAAUAUUGGACAAUGGGCGAAAGCCUGAUCCAGCCAUGCCGCGUGUGUGAAGAAGGUCUUCGGAUUGUAAAGCACUUUAAGUUGGGAGGAAGGGCAGUAAGUUAAUACCUUGCUGUUUUGACGUUACCAACAGAAUAAGCACCGGCUAACUUCGUG
rnacentral:rRNA from 1 species